GUUCACAUGCAUUAUAGCUCUGUUGGUUAGAGCAUGGUGCUGAUAACGCCAAGGUUGCAGGUUCAAUUCCCAUAUGGAACA
rnacentral:tRNA from 1 species